CUCAUUCCCCUUCUCGGUACCUAUCUGUCACACGAGCACUCACUCUCAUGAAUCGCAUGAGUUCACUAGCCAACUGAUGAAGAGGAAUUAACCUCCAUCGAAACCCAAUUUCUUUACGGAUACCAGGUACUAUGGGCAAGCACAAGGCCACGGCUGCUGCUAUUAAGUGCGACAGGGGUAAAAAUGUAAUCAAUUCGGAUUCCAAUGACUUCGAGACACAGGUAGUUCAAAAACCUCUGGGCAAGUGCAAAACCACAGCUUCCAUCACUUCGUGCGGAAAGGGUAACGAUGUAUUUGAUUCAGCUCCCAUUGACUCAGAGACUCGGGUAGUUAAAGGUGUACAGAAAUUGAAAGAACAUCUUGAGGCAGUGGACUAUCUCAGUAGCCAUUCUCUUGAUUAUCUGCUUAAUUCAAAUCCAAUGACUAGUUGCACGUCUUCCCGAAGGUAGUAAGGGCUUUUUAUCGCACGUUUAAUGAGGUUCUAGGAGAGGAGCAUGAGAGCAUGAGCAAUGAACCCAAAUCUUACUUGGUGAUCAUUGAUAGAAAUGUGAUUAAGUUUUCUACUCUGGAUAUUUGUGAGCUGAUUGAGUUUCCUCGGGCCUUUGUGCAUAAUACUUAUUUUGAGCCAGCUUAUGUCACAUCUUGUAUUGAGAUGAUCAUGGCUCUUUCUACUGAUCCAUACACAGGACAUUCUACUGUUCGCCGUGUAGCACUCCCGUAUUUGAUGAGACUUCUUGAUACGGUGGUCAAGAAGAACUUGGUCCCAGUAGGCCAUGAUCAGGUGCGAUGAGGCCCUUUCAUAGAGGGCACUCCCGAGUUCUAUAGCUUAUGGGAGCAUCGGAGCACCUACCAUGAUUGAGCAUUUUGAGCGUCUGCAUACUGAGCUUUGUGUUGUUGCUGAGGAGCAGGCGAGCUUACGGGCUUAUUUGAUGAGUGGCUUUGAGGAUUUGCGGACUGAGCAGAUGACUACUCGAGAUAAAGUAGAGGCGCUUAUGGCAUUCUUAGGGUGUCCACCACCCGACGAUCCACCUCCAUCUUGAUUUCUUUUAUCAGGUUGUAUUAUUCCUCACUUUUGUUGCUCUUUAUUAUUUUAUCUUUUUCUCAUUGGGGACACUGUUGUAUUCUAGUGUGAGGAUGGGAUCCAUGAGACAUGUAUUGUUUAUUUUCUUUUCGAAUUGUAAUUAGAUCUUCUAUAUUAGUGUGUUUGGUGUUUUUAAAAAUUCAAAAACAAUUAUGAUGUUUAUGGGUA